UACAGAGGUCCCAAGCGUUGUUCGGAUUCACUGGGCGUAAAGGGUGCGUAGGCGGUCGGGUAAGUCUGAUGUGAAAUCUCACAGCUUAACUGUGAAACUGCAUUGGAUACUAUUCGGCUUGAGGUCUGGAGGGGGGACUGGAAUUCUUGGUGUAGCAGUGAAAUGCGUAGAUAUCAAGAGGAACACCAGUGGCGAAGGCGAGUCCCUGGACAGGUCCUGACGCUGAGGCACGAAAGCUAGGGUAGCAAACGGG
rnacentral:rRNA from 1 species